rnacentral:ncRNA from 2 species
GCCGGUGUGAUUCCGGCGCGGUCGCGCCACUGUGUCGGGGGUGUCCACGGACGCGCCCGGAGUCAGA